ACAUUUGUGGAAGAAUUUGGCUGCUUGCAACCACAUAAAAAAAUGCUAAAACUGCAAAA
rfam:Prevotella oris C735 genomic scaffold supercont1.5, whole genome shotgun sequence.